rnacentral:rRNA from 1 species
CAGCCGCCGCGGUAAUACGUAGGUCCCGAGCGUUGUCCGGAUUUAUUGGGCGUAAAGCGCACGUAGGCGGAUAUUUAAGUCAGGGGUGAAAUCCCAGAGCUCAACUCUGGAACUGCCUUUGAUACUGGGUAUCUUGAGUAUGGAAGAGGUGAGUGGAAUUCCGAGUGUAGAGGUGAAAUUCGUAGAUAUUCGGAGGAACACCAGUGGCGAAGGCGGCCCACUGGUCCAUUACUGACGCUGAGGUGCGAAAGCGUGGGGAGCAAACAGGAUUAGAUACCCCCGUAGUCCCUGUCUCUUAUAC